UACGUAGGUGGCGAGCGUUGUCCGGAUUUACUGGGCGUAAAGAGCGCGCAGGCGGCUGGUCAAGUCCGAUGUGAAAGCUCCCGGCUUAACUGGGAAAUUGCAUCGGAAACUGAUCGGCUGGAAGGUGGGAGAGGGUAGCGGAAUUCCCGGUGUAGUGGUGAAAUGCGCAGAUAUCAGGAGGAACACCGGUGGCGAAGGCGGUUCUCUGGGCAUGUCCUGACGCUGAGGAGCGAAAGUGUGGGGAGCGAACAGG
rnacentral:rRNA from 1 species